rnacentral:rRNA from 1 species
UACGUAGGUGGCAAGCGUUGUCCGGAAUUAUUGGGCGUAAAGCGCGCGCAGGCGGUCCUUUAAGUCUGCUGUGAAAGCCCACGGCUCAACCGUGGAGGGUCAUUGGAAACUGGGGGACUUGAGUGCAGAAGAGGAAAGCGGAAUUCCACGUGUAGCGGUGAAAUGCGUAGAGAUGUGGAGGAACACCAGUGGCGAAGGCGGCUUUCUGGUCUGUAACUGACGCUGAGGCGCGAAAGCGUGGGGAGCAAACAGG